UACGUAGGGUGCAAGCGUUGUCCGGAAUUAUUGGGCGUAAAGAGCUCGUAGGCGGUCUGUCGCGUCGGCUGUGAAAACUCGGGGCUCAACCCCGAGUCUGCAGUCGAUACGGGCAGACUAGAGUGCUGUAGGGGAGACUGGAAUUCCUGGUGUAGCGGUGAAAUGCGCAGAUAUCAGGAGGAACACCGGUGGCGAAGGCGGGUCUCUGGGCAGUAACUGACGCUGAGACGCGAAAGCGUGGGGAGCAAACAGG
rnacentral:rRNA from 1 species